GUGGGGAAUCUUCCGCAAUGGACGAAAGUCUGACGGAGCGACGCCGCGUGAGUGAAGAAGGCCUUCGGGUCGUAAAGCUCUGUCAUCGGGGACGAACGGCCUCAGCAGGUAAUGGCUGGGGAUUGACGGUACCCGAGAAGGAAGCCACGGCUAACUACGUGCCAGCAGCCGCGGUAAUACGUAGGUGGCAAGCGUUGUCCGGAAUUAUUGGGCGUAAAGCGCGCGCAGGUGGGAUCUUAAGUCCAUUUUGAAAGUUCGGAGCUGAACUCCGUGAUGGGAUGGAAACUGGGAUUCUUGAGUACCGGAGAGGAAAGCGGAAUUCCCCGUGUAGCGGUGAAAUGCGUAGAUAUGGGGAGGAACACCAGUGGCGAAGGCGGCUUUCUGGACGGUGUCUGACACUGAGGCGCGAAAGCCAGGGGAGCGAACGGGAUUAGAAACCCUGGUAGUCC
rnacentral:rRNA from 1 species